UACGUAGGGACCAAGCGUUGUUCGGAUUUACUGGGCGUAAAGGGCGCGUAGGCGGCGUGGUAAGUCAGUUGUGAAAUCUCCAAGCUUAACUCGGAACGGCCAACUGAUACUGCUGUGCUAGAGUGCAGAAGGGGCAAUCAGAAUUCUUGGUGUAGCGGUGAAAUGCGUAGAUAUCAAGAGGAAUACCAGAGGUGAAGACGGGUUGCUAGGCUGACACUGACGCUGAGGCGCGAAAGCCAGGGGAGCAAACGGG
rnacentral:rRNA from 1 species